rfam:Schistosoma curassoni strain Dakar, Senegal genome assembly, scaffold: SCTD_scaffold0001437
GCACUGCUGAGGAGUCCCAUAAUAGGACGAAACGGCCGUCCAGCGC